GUCCACGCCGUAAACGUUGGGCGCUAGGUGUGGGGGACAUUCCACGUCCUCCGUGCCGCAGCUAACGCAUUAAGCGCCCCGCCUGGGGAGUACGGCCGCAAGGCUAAAACUCAAAGGAAUUGACGGGGGCCCGCACAAGCGGCGGAGCAUGCGGAUUAAUUCGAUGCAACGCGAAGAACCUUACCUGGGUUUGACAUACAUGGAAAACUUGUAGAGAUACAAGGUCCUUACGGGCCAUGUACAGGUGGUGCAUGGCUGUCGU
rnacentral:rRNA from 1 species